GAAAGCUCUAGUUCAGUUCUCAGAGAUGAAGCCAUCUGCUUUCUUCCUAUUGAUUCUGCUGCUCUGGGUACCGGGUUCCACUGGGGACACUGUGCUGACCCAGUCUCCAGCUUCUCUGUCUGUGUCUCUUGGAGAAAAAGCCAUCAUUUCUUGCAAGUCCAGUGAGAGUGUCAAUAGAUUUGGCACAAAUCUUAUGCACUGGUAUCAAAAGAAGCCAGGACAGCCUCUCAAACUCCUGAUCUACAAUGAAUUCCAACUAGUAUCUGGGAUUCCUUCCAGGUUCAGUGGUGGUAAGGUUGCAUUAGACUUCACCCUUACCAUCCACCCUGUGGAAGCUGAUGAUAUUGCAACCUAUUAUUGUCAUCAAGGACUAGAUCGUCCUCCCACAGCCCUCUAUGUCUAA